rnacentral:rRNA from 1 species
UACGAGUGCCCCCAAGCGUUAUCCGGAAUCAUUGGGCGUAAAGGGUGUGUAGGUGGCGAUGUUAGUCUUCUGUCAAAUUCUUCGGCUUAACCGGGGGUCUGCAGAGGAAACGGCAUUGCUCGAGGAUGCGAGGGGGUGAAUGGAACUCAUGGAGUAGGGGGUGAAAUCCGUUGAUAUCAUGGGGAACACCAAAAGCGAAGGCAAUUCACUGGCGCAUUCCUGACACUGAAACACGAAAGCGUGGGUGAGCGAACGGG